rnacentral:rRNA from 1 species
CCUACGGGUGGCAGCAGUAGGGAAUAUUGCUCAAUGGGGGAAACCCUGAAGCAGCAACGCCGCGUGGAGGAUGAAGGUGUUCGGAUUGUAAGCUCCUUUUUUUAGAGAAGAUAAUGACGGUAUCUAACGAAUAAUCACCGUCUAACUCCGUGCCAGCUGCCGCGGUAAUACGGCGGGUGCAAGCGUUACUCGGAAUCACUGGGCGUAAAGCGGGCGUAGGCGGGAUAGCAAGUCAGAUGGGAAAUCCUAUGGCUUAACCAUAGAACUGCAUUUGAAACUGUUAUUCUAGAGUAUGGGAGAGGGAGGUGGAAUUCGUGGUGUAGGGGUAAAAUCCGUAGAGAUCGAGCAGAACACUCAUUGCGAAGGCGGCCUGCUAGAACAUCACUGACGCUGAUGCGCGAAAGCGUGGGGAUCGAACAGGAUUAGAUACCCCAGUAGUC